rnacentral:rRNA from 1 species
CCUACGGGAGGCAGCAGUGAGGAAUAUUGCUCAAUGGACGAAAGUCUGAACCAGCAAAGUAGCGUGAAGGAUGACUGCUCUAUGGGUUUUAAACUUCUUUUAUAUGGGAAUAAAAUGUUCCACGUGUGGGAUUUUGUAUGUACCAUAUGGAUAAGGAUCGGCUAACUCCGUGCGAGCAGCCGCGGUAAUACGGAGACUCCGGGCGUUAACCGGAUUUAUGGGGUUUAAUGAGAGCGUAGGUGGAUUGUUAAGUCAGUUGUGAAAGUUUGCGGCUCAACCGUAAAAUUGCAGUUGAAACUGGCAGUCUUGAGUACAGUAGAGGUGGGCGGAAUUCGUGGUGUAGCGGUGAAAUGCGUAGAUAUCAAGAAGAACUCCGAUUGCGAAGGCAGCUCACUGGACCGCAACUGACACUGAGGCUCGAAAGUGUGGGUAUCAAACAGGAUUAGAUACCCCGGUAGUC